UACGGAGGGUGCAAGCGUUAUCCGGAUUCACUGGGUUUAAAGGGAGCGUAGGUGGGUUUGUAAGUCAGUGGUGAAAUCUCCAAGCUUAACUUGGAACUGCCGUUGAUACUAUAAAUCUUGAAUGUUGUGGAGGUGAGCGGAAUAUGUCAUGUAGCGGUGAAAUGCUUAGAUAUGAACAUAGAACACCAAUUGCGAAGGCAGCUC
rnacentral:rRNA from 1 species